GACGUAGGGCGCGAGCGUUGUCCGGAUUUAUUGGGCGUAAAGAGCUCGUAGGCGGCUUGUUGCGUCGGCUGUGAAAACCCGCAGCUCAACUGUGGGCUUGCAGCCGAUACGGGCAGGCUUGAGUUCGGUAGGGGAGACUGGAAUUCCUGGUGUAGCGGUGAAAUGCGCAGAUAUCAGGAGGAACACCGGUGGCGAAGGCGGAUCUCUGGGCCGAUACUGACGCUGAGGAGCGAAAGCGUGGGGAGCGAACAGG
rnacentral:rRNA from 1 species